rnacentral:hammerhead_ribozyme from 1 species
AUCCAUCUGACGAGUCCCAAAUAGGACGAAACGCACAUCAAACUGGAU